CUAUCACUCUUUAUGGAUUCUGCCCAAGAAGUGAAAAUGAGGUCUGUGAAACAGCAGACCUGGAAGGAAACUGCUCCACUGAAGACCAAGAAGCAACAGGUUCCAAAAAGUUACUCCCAUUGAUUAUGGAAAGCAGAGACCAGUCAGGGACUAUAAAUGACCAGCUCAGCAAUUCAAGACCAAGAGCUGUGAGGUCCAUUGUACAUAACCUGGAAG